GCUCAGAUUGAACGCUGGCGGCAGGCCUAACACAUGCAAGUCGAGCGGUAGAGAGGUGCUUGCACCUCUUGAGAGCGGCGGACGGGUGAGUAAUGCCUAGGAAUCUGCCUGGUAGUGGGGGAUAACGCUCGGAAACGGACGCUAAUACCGCAUACGUCCUACGGGAGAAAGCAGGGGACCUUCGGGCCUUGCGCUAUCAGAUGAGCCUAGGUCGGAUUAGCUAGUUGGUGGGGUAAUGGCUCACCAAGGCGACGAUCCGUAACUGGUCUGAGAGGAUGAUCAGUCACACUGGAACUGAGACACGGUCCAGACUCCUACGGGAGGCAGCAGUGGGGAAUAUUGGACAAUGGGCGAAAGCCUGAUCCAGCCAUGCCGCGUGUGUGAAGAAGGUCUUCGGAUUGUAAAGCACUUUAAGUUGGGAGGAAGGGCAUUAACCUAAUACGUUAGUGUUUUGACGUUACCGACAGAAUAAGCACCGGCUAACUCUGUGCCAGCAGCCGCGGUAAUACAGAGGGUGCAAGCGUUAAUCGGAAUUACUGGGCGUAAAGCGCGCGUAGGUGGUUCGUUAAGUUGGAUGUGAAAGCCCCGGGCUCAACCUGGGAACUGCAUUCAAAACUGUCGAGCUAGAGUAUGGUAGAGGGUGGUGGAAUUUCCUGUGUAGCGGUGAAAUGCGUAGAUAUAGGAAGGAACACCAGUGGCGAAGGCGACCACCUGGAC
rnacentral:rRNA from 1 species